UGGAGGCUGGGCGGGGGAGUCCGGGAGAGGCAAUGGGGCCCCCCUGAGGGGCCAGGGGACCUCCUAGGAGAGAGAGAAGCCUCGGGAGGCAAAGCAGGCUGCAGAGGAGGAGAUGGAUUCGAGAAAUACUCAGCAGGUGGCUGAAAGAAUCAGGGACUUUGAUGUGGGAGGGCUAUAUUUGGGGAAGUGCCUCCAGCUCCAUUGGCCUGUAACAUAAUGGCUCACUGGUUAAAAACAAGGUCACUGUUAAAAAGGAAAAAACAGCCCUGAUUGUCGGGGUGGUGACUUGCAGGUGACUCAUGGAGCCAAAAAUCAAAGCAAUAAGGGUGACAGCAGGUGGAAACCAGGCAGGCGCCACCCCUCCCUCCCUCUCACCCUCUGGUUCACU
rnacentral:lncRNA from 1 species